AAUGAUGAUAUUUUCGUCUAAUACAUGCACCACGCUUAGACUUUGUUCUGUGCUGAAAAACAGACCCUUUAAUACUGAA